rnacentral:lncRNA from 1 species
UUCCCCUUUUAACAUUUGGUUUAAUACCGGGCCUUUAGAGCAAGACAUGAAUUUAAAGGCAAAGAAACCAAACCAAAAGAUUGAAACAAACAACAAGAAGCAGCAACUACGUCCUUCAUAAAAUAAGCACAAUCAAUGGAUGUGUGGCAUCCCAAGAACUGAGCAACUACUCGACUUGGGUGAAAUUGUGAAAAAAAUCUUCCACAUGAAUGGACUACAGAAAAGAUUAAGAGCACACAGGUUUCAUCACCAAGGAUGACUGGGUGUUGUGGAGCAUUUUC